rnacentral:rRNA from 1 species
CAGUAGCCGCGGUAAUACGAAGGGGGCUAGCGUUGUUCGGAUUUACUGGGCGUAAAGCGCACGUAGGCGGAUCGAUCAGUCAGGGGUGAAAUCCUGGAGCUCAACUCCAGAACUGCCUUUGAUACUGUCGAUCUCGAGUCCGGAAGAGGUGAGUGGAACUCCUAGUGUAGAGGUGGAAUUCGUAGAUAUUAGGAAGAACACCAGUGGCGAAGGCGGCUCACUGGUCCGGUACUGACGCUGAGGUGCGAAAGCGUGGGGAGCAAACAGGAUUAGAUACCCCCGUAGUCCCUGUCUCUUAUAC